rnacentral:rRNA from 1 species
AUACGGAGGGUCCGAGCGUUAUCCGGAAUCAUUGGGUUUAAAGGGUCCGUAGGCGGGAAUCUAAGUCAGUGGUGAAAUCUUGCAGCUCAACUGUAAAAUUGCCAUUGAUACUGGAUUUCUUGAAUUAGUGUGAAGUGGUUAGAAUGUGUAGUGUAGCGGUGAAAUGCAUAGAUAUUACACAGAAUACCAAUUGCGAAGGCAGAUCACUAACACUAUAUUGACGCUGAGGGACGAAAGCGUGGGGAGCGAACAGGAUUAGAUACCCUAGUAGUCC